CUUGUUUGAUUUAUUGAAUUUUCUUCUGUUGAAACUAUUUCAGAUUAAUUGUUUCUUCACGUCUUGCAUAAUUUCGGGUCUUGCUAGUAUUGGAGGAUUUGGAUAUUACUGCUCUGCAAUUUCCCGUUUGGUGAGAGCUGGUGUUUUUGAGAACUGCCAAGAAGGUUGCUUGUUUAUCGUCAUUCCAGUGUGUGUGAUGACUGGGCUUAACAUAAUGGCGUUCUUCAGUGCUUUCGUUGGCUUUAGGUACUUGAAGGGAAGACAGUGAUGGUAACCCAGACCUCUCCAAAUCCGCAUGUUAUCGGCUUCUAAAUACUUUCCAAAAAAAUCGUAGACAUGCCUCCAUAAAUAGAACUUUAGAU